GACGAACGCUGGCGGCGUGCUUAACACAUGCCAGUCGAACGGAAAGGCCUGCUUUCCCUUGUGGAUUGCGGGUACUCGAGUGGCGAACGGGUGAGUAACACGUGAGUGAUCUGCCCCCAACUUGGGUAUAAGCCUGGGAAACUGGGUCUAAUUCCCGAUAGGACUGCAGGGUGGUGCCUGUGGUGGAAAACGAUUUUCUAGUGGUUGGGGAUGAGCUCGCGGCCUAUCAGCUUGUUGGUGGGGUAAUGGCCUACCAAGGCGGCGACGGGUAGCCGGCCUGAGAGGGUGGACGGCCACAGUGGGACUGAGAUACGGCCCAGACUCCUACGGGAGGCAGCAGUGGGGAAUACUGCACAAUGGGCGGAAGCCUGAUGCAGCGACGCCGCGUGGGGGAUGACGGCCUUCGGGUUGUAAACUCCUUUCGACCGCGAGGAAGCCACCUGGUUGGAAGGGUGGUGACGGUAGUGGUAGAAGAAGCACCGGCUAACUACGUG
rnacentral:rRNA from 1 species